rnacentral:rRNA from 1 species
AGAGUUUGAUCCUGGCUCAGGAUGAACGCUGGCGGCGUGCUUAACACAUGCAAGUCGAACGAGGUUUUUAUGGACAAUCACUUCGGUGAGAGGAAGUGAAAACCGAGUGGCGGACGGGUGAGUAACGCGUGGGGAACCUGCCUUAUACCGGGGGAUAACAGUUAGAAAUGACUGCUAAUACCGCAUAAGCGCACGAAGAGGCAUCUCUUUGUGUGAAAAACUCCGGUGGUAUAAGAUGGACCCGCGUUGGAUUAGCCAGUUGGCGGGUAACGGCCCACCAAAGCGACGAUCCAUAGCCGGACUGAGAGGUCGAACGGCCACAUUGGGACUGAGACACGGCCCAGACUCCUACGGGAGGCAGCAGUGGGGAAUAUUGCACAAUGGAGGAAACUCUGAUGCAGCGACGCCGCGUGAGUGAUGAAGGUUUUCGGAUCGUAAACUUCUGUCCAUGGGGACGAAGAAAGUGACGGUACCCGUGGAGGAAGCCCGGCUAACUACGUGCC